UACCCAUCAUCCAUCAUUGGCUGGUCUAUCUGUAGGAAAAUAUUUCACUCACCUUUCUUUUUCUACAAGAAAAAAGACAUAAAAUUACACCAUAGUGGAAGGGUAGGAACUAGUGAGGAAUGCACUUAGAUGAAGAGAACAGAGAAGAGAAGCAUCUUUUUCAGAAAUGAGAAGGAAGAAACAUGGAGGCAGAGAAAAUGAAGGUGAAGGAUUCUUCACUGGCAGAUCUUGGUCUCCAAGGCUAACAGAGUACUAACCCAGCGGGAUUAUUCGGAAGAUUGUGACUGAUGUCACCUGGGGAGGCUCCUCGGUGGUACAGUGUUUUUCUAGCACAUAUGAAGGCUUGCAUUCCACCCCGUGGGCCUGAGACUGAUGCGCAUAUGGGACUGAGCCCUGGAUGCAGCACACGACUCACAGUGAGACCAACAACAGUGUCCUCGGCCUGCGUCAGGGGACACAGGAGUGCGGAGGGUCGAGACAAGGACACUUCUGCCCUGCUGUGCACAUAGCUGAGUGACUACGAGAGAGGGCAGAUGCAGCCAGCUUUGCCAGUGGUGCACGCAAGGUCCCCAGGACACGUAGAGGAAGCAGCGAGGACUUCUGCCCAUGGCCUUAGGUAAAAGUUUGGGACACUGAAGAAGAGGUGACAUCUGAGAGCUGACAUCUGGGCUGGGUGCAGGAAGGCUGUCGACCAGGAAUGAGUUGGAGGCUCUUGCAGCGACCUGGACCCCCUGCCAUGUGGCCAGCAGGAGGAAAUCAGGGUCUUCUAUGUAGUCCCGGCUGAGUUUGAACUUGCUGUGUAGCUCAGAGUAGCCUCAAUCUUGGAGCAAUCCUCCUGCCUCCGCCUCCUGAGUCUAAUUUCUAGUGUCAGCUGUGAUGUCACAAACCAGCCCCAGCUGGCUCCUGAUGGAUUUCAGCCCCGGUGCCAAGAUGACGCGGCCUGGCAGCCUCUGUGCACGAAGCAGAAGAGCAUAAAUUAGCAGACAGUGUUCCUCCAGCACAGCAUUUACCGAUUUUAAAUAAUAAUAAAAUCUCAGGCCGAAGAACACAAUAAAAAUGUGGCAUUAGGCAUGAAGAAACCACUUCUGAAGAAGAGAAAUUCUAAAGGGAAUCAUCCAUUUGCAUCCUAUAUUUUAGUUAAAAAUUGAGAUUUUUCCCCAGGAAAGGUUGUUGUUUUGAAGCAAACAGAGGCUGUGUUUCAGAAGCAGCACAGAAUUCCAGCGGCCUGAGCCUGUGUUUAGUGGGAAGGCCCGCAGGGAAUCCGCUGGAAGGAUCCGGAUUUUCAUUGUUGAGGAUGCGGUCUGCUCCGCGGGCCGCUGGCUCUUUCUGCCGCUCUCCGCCAUCUGCCACGUUUUCUGGCGAGCCUGACAAACACAUUUAGGUGGGACCAUAUGGCUGUAAAACCUGUCACCAUGUUGCACUCGGUUCUGCUUUUCCUCCCUUUUAACAGAGAUGCACUGGAUCGUUCUUUUUUUUCUUUUGUCUUUUUUGAGGCAGGUUUUCACUACAUGGUUUAGGCUGGCCUCAAACUCACUAUGUAGCCCAGGUGGGUCUUGAACUCAUGGCGAGCCUCCUGCCUCAGCCUCCUGAUUGCUGGGGUUACAGGUACGCACCACUGUGCCUGGCUCAUUACUACUUCUUGAAAAGCUUUAUCCUGCUGGGCAUGGUGGCUCAUAUUUGUGACCCCAGUUACUUGGAAAGCUGAGGCAGCAGAACUGUGAGUUUGAGCCUGGUCUGAGCAAGUUAACAAGUUCUUGUCUCAAAAAAGGAGGGGAGCUGGGGGCGCCGCCCAUGCCCGAAGCCCAGGGACCUAUCCCUGGUACAGUAAAAUACAUGAAAACCCUUCCUCUUAAUCCUGAAACCAAAUCUCACACUGACAGUACUCAGCCUUGGGGAUAUGUCUACUAAUAAAAUGUGUAAGUAAUAAGCAUUUUGAAGGAAAGGCUUUUUUUUUUUUGGUACUAGGAAUCGAACUCAGGACCUUACACUUGCCAGGUAGGCGCUAAUGUUGCGGAGCUAUAUCCCCGGCCCAAUAAUGGGCAUUUUGAAAUGACCAAAUUUUUCUCAAAUUCUUUGGUAAAUGGCUUUGAGCCAUUCCUUGCCUUGGCCUCCUGGCAUUUGGACUCAGUUCCAGUGCUUCCCCCUGUAGCUGUCCUCCCUGCCCCACUCUGGGGGUCAGGUCCUCAAAACCGCACCCUCCUGAAAUCUCAGCUUUAGGUGCCCUGUCCACACAAGGCCUCCGCUGCUACAGCUCAGCGGUUCCACCCUGCCCAGCUCUCCGAUCCACCUCUCCUUCCAACCCACGUCUCUCUCAAAUCUUGACUGCCUCGUUCACACAGCCCGGAAUCCGCACUCGCAUCGAUGGCCAGCAGCACGGUCCACGGUGCUCGCUGUCUCUGGACCCAGGCAGCACAGCUCUGCCCCUGGCUAAUCUGUCUUUCUAUCUAAUCUCUGCCUGCACACAACUGCACAAAUUCCAUUUGAAAUCUGUAUAAAUCUGAAGCAUAAUAAACCUUUCUCAGCAA